UCUCUAUGUUCGCUUUGAUUUGCGUCCUGUGUUUGCAUGUUUGUUAUUGUUCACAUUUUCGGGGUUUGUUGGUCUCCCUUCGUCAGCCAUGGCGGCCAAGAACUUGUACGAGAAUUUCUCUAAAGCUUUGAUCGAUGAUGUACUCAGGUUGGGUGCCAUGAAGCAGACUGGCGUGAGCUUGAGAUACAUGAUGGAAUUUGGCUCUAACCCCACUGCCAAAAACUUGCUUAUCUCUGCUCAGUUCCUUCAUAAAGAGUUACCCAUAAGAAUUGCAAGGAGAGCCAUUGAGCUUGACAGCUUGCCUUAUGGUUUGUCUGAUAAACCUGCUGUUUUGAAGGUUCGAGAUUGGUACUUGGAUUCUUUCCGUGAUCUUCGAAGCUUUCCGACCAUCAAAGAUACAAGUGAUGAGUUGGAUUUUACACAAAUGAUUAAAAUGAUCAGAGUGAGACACAACAAUGUGGUUCCUAUGAUGGCUUUGGGUGUUCAACAACUGAAGAAAGACUUGAAGCCAAAGGUUGUGACAGAAGAUCUUGAUGAAAUUCACCAGUUUCUUGAUCGUUUUUACAUGUCAAGAAUUGGGAUCCGCAUGCUCAUUGGGCAGCAUGUGGUAUUACACAAUCCAAAUCCACAACCUGAUCGUGUAGGUUACAUACAUACCAAAAUGUCUCCUGUGGAGAUAGCACGAAAUGCAAGUGAGGAUGCCCGUGCUAUUUGUUUGCAAGAGUAUGGGAGUGCACCUGAUGUUAACAUCUAUGGUGAUCCCAACUUUACAUUCAUGUAUGUUCCAACACACUUGCAUCUUAUGUUAUUUGAGUUGGUUAAGAAUUCCUUGCGUGCUGUCCAAGAGCGGUUUAUGGAUUCAGACAAGGUUGCACCUCCCAUUCGAAUAAUAGUUGCCGAUGGAAUUGAGGAUGUUACGAUAAAGAUCUCAGAUGAAGGAGGUGGAAUACCAAGAAGUGGCCUUCCAAAGAUAUUUACAUAUCUUUAUAGUACAGCAAAAAACCCAUUGGACGAGCAAUCAGACCUUGGAUCAACUGAUGGGGUGACAAUGGCUGGAUAUGGAUAUGGCCUUCCAAUAAGUCGCUUGUAUGCUCGAUACUUUGGAGGUGAUCUGCAAAUUAUUUCAAUGGAAGGAUAUGGGACUGAUGCCUACCUUCAUUUGAGUCGCCUGGGAGAUUCACAAGAACCCCUGCCAUGAUCCAAGGACUGCCUACUACUGAUGUAAGCUGGGCAUAUCUUGCAGAUCAUCCUGUAUCUUGCGGAGCCACGGCUUUAUUGUACAUUCUUUCUCUCCAUUCCUAUUUUCUCAGGGUCAACUUGGGAUCUGCUAACCAGGAGCCAAUUGAGACAGAAUUUUGUUUUUGCUUGGAGCACUGUCCAGGUUGCAAGUAACUAUGACCAAAUUUAGGGUGGUUUAUUGUGAUAUUAGAAUUGUACUGCAGUUUUUUAGCGUUUUUCUUCUCUGUUUCAUACA